rnacentral:rRNA from 1 species
AUUGAACGCUGGCGGCAGGCUUAACACAUGCAAGUCGAACGAUGACUCUCUAGCUUGCUAGAGAAGAUUAGUGGCGGACGGGUGAGUAACAUUUAGGAAUCUGCCUAGUAGUGGGGGAUAGCUCGGGGAAACUCGAAUUAAUACCGCAUACGACCUACGGGUGAAAGGGGGCGCAAGCUCUUGCUAUUAGAUGAGCCUAAAUCAGAUUAGCUAGUUGGUGGGGUAAAGGCCCACCAAGGCGACGAUCUGUAACUGGUCUGAGAGGAUGAUCAGUCACACCGGAACUGAGACACGGUCCGGACUCCUACGGGAGGCAGCAGUGGGGAAUAUUGGACAAUGGGGGCAACCCUGAUCCAGCCAUGCCGCGUGUGUGAAGAAGGCCUUUUGGUUGUAAAGCACUUUAAGCAGGGAGGGGAGGCUAAUGGUUAAUACCCAUUAGAUUAGACGUUACCUGCAGAAUAAGCACCGGCUAACUCUGUGCCAGCAGCCGCGGUAAUACAGAGGGUGCGAGCGUUAAUCGGAAUUACUGGGCGUAAAGCGAGUGUAGGUGGCUCAUUAAGUCACAUGUGAAAUCCCCGGGCUUAACCUGGGAACUGCAUGUGAUACUGGUGGUGCUAGAAUAUGUGAGAGGGAAGUAGAAUUCCAGGUGUAGCGGUGAAAUGCGUAGAGAUCUGGAGGAAUACCGAUGGCGAAGGCAGCUUCCUGGCAUAAUAUUGACACUGAGAUUCGAAAGCGUGGGUAGCAAACAGGAUUAGAUACCCUGGUAGUCCACGCCGUAAACGAUGUCUACUAGCCGUUGGGGUCCUUGAGACUUUAGUGGCGCAGUUAACGCGAUAAGUAGACCGCCUGGGGAGUACGGCCGCAAGGUUAAAACUCAAAUGAAUUGACGGGGGCCCGCACAAGCGGUGGAGCAUGUGGUUUAAUUCGAUGCAACGCGAAGAACCUUACCUGGUCUUGACAUAGUGAGAAUCCUGCAGAGAUGCGGGAGUGCCUUCGGGAAUUCACAUACAGGUGCUGCAUGGCUGUCGUCAGCUCGUGUCGUGAGAUGUUGGGUUAAGUCCCGCAACGAGCGCAACCCUUUUCCUUAUUUGCCAGCGGGUUAAGCCGGGAACUUUAAGGAUACUGCCAGUGACAAACUGGAGGAAGGCGGGGACGACGUCAAGUCAUCAUGGCCCUUACGACCAGGGCUACACACGUGCUACAAUGGUAGGUACAGAGGGUUGCUACACAGCGAUGUGAUGCUAAUCUCAAAAAGCCUAUCGUAGUCCGGAUUGGAGUCUGCAACUCGACUCCAUGAAGUCGGAAUCGCUAGUAAUCGCAGAUCAGAAUGCUGCGGUGAAUACGUUCCCGGGCCU